rnacentral:rRNA from 1 species
GCCAGCAGCUAGCACAUGAAUGAAAGGAUCUCAUCUGAUCUCAGAAGCUAAGCAGGGUCAGGCACAGAUAGUACCUGGAUAGGAGACUGCUUGGGAACACCAGGAGCUGCAGGAG